rnacentral:lncRNA from 1 species
CUCCCCCUCCCGAUCGCGUCACACUCAAGGUCCAAAGAUGAUGUGCGCACUUGUCUGUGGUCAUUUCCCAUUAUAAUGAAUGGGAGGCGCAGUUUCUACCAAAACACUUGCUGCAGACAAACUACAUGUCCUAUUUGAAAAAAGUCUGGACCAUGAGUGAGGGCACAAACACAGCUAGGAUAUAUCCAAACGGCAAGUUGCUCCUCGUUACGGUGUUGCCGGGAGAGCGAUGCGAUUGAGCCAUUGAGUGAUGGGCAGGAAAAACUUGACUGUUUCUCCUGCCAUGGGGGAUGGGGGAUGGGGGGGGGGGGGGGGGGUGGAUUCUUUUAAGAAUGUGGAUAUUUGGGUCAUCUUUGGCGCCCCCUAGAACGUAAACCGUGGGGUGCAGCGUCAUGAUUUUUAAAACUUUGAAUGGCCAUGGGGUGUAGAUUGGCCUGAGCAAAUGUGGUGCCGGUGGAACGAAAGCCUUAGGAGGAGUUAGCGAAAUUACAAUGUGUGCGGAUCGGCAAAAAAUGCGGAAUAACCCUUUAACCGUACAUUUGACAGAUACGCGCGCAUUGACUUUUUCGUAGAUCUUAUUGAGAUACAUGUGUGUGUCAAUUUUUGUGUCAUUUUGCCAAAGCGUACAGGUGUUACACUCAACAAUGUGUAUUUUCACCUUAGGGGACAAGAAAAAAUGGACUUUUUUCUCCUGCCAUGGGGGGGCGCUCUUUUGGGGAGUAAAAAUUCCUUCACAAAUGUGUUGAUGGCUGGACAUUGCAUCAUCCUAAAAAACUUGGAGGCCAGUGAGGGCAAAAAUAAAAAGUUAUAAGACUUUUAAAUAUGUGGAUCUUAGGGUUAUCUUUGGCGCCCCCUAGAACCUAAACCGUGGGGUGCAGCGUCAUGAUUUGAAUAACUUUUAAUGGCCAUGGGGUGUAGAUUGGCCUGAGCAAAUGUGGUGCCGGUGGAACGAAAGCCUUCGGAGGACUUAGCGAAAUUCCAAUGUGUGCGGAUCGGCAAAAAAUGCGCAAUAACCCUUUAACCGUACAUUUGACAGAUACGCGCGCAUUGACUUUUUCGUAGAUCUUAUUGAGAUACAUGUGUGUGUCAAUUUUUGUGUCAUUUUGCCAAAGCGUACAGGCGUGACAGUCAAUAGUGUGAAUUUUCACCUUAGGGGGCGCUAUGGAGCCAUUUUGCAUUUUCUUGUUUGGGCGACUUCGGAAUAUCAAAUUUUUCACCAGGCCCGGUCGUCCGGCCAAAUUUCAUGAGUUUUCGCCAGUGGGAAGUGGGCCAUUUUCCAGUUCAAAGGGGAGGAAAAAUAAUAACUAGGGCCCCGUUGGGGCACUGGCGGGCCCGAGCCACGUUGCGCCGCCCCCAGUGCGACCGCCUCCCCCUCCCGAUCGUGUCCCACUCAAGGUCCAAAGAUGGUGUGCGCACUUGUCUGUGGUCAUUUCCCAUUAUAAUGAAUGGGAGGUGCAGUUUCUACCAAAACACUCGCUGCAGACAAACUACAUGUCCUAUUUGAAAAAAGUCUGGACCAUGAGUUAGGGCACAAACACAGCUAGGAUAUAUCCAAACGGCAAGUUGCUCCUCGUUACGGU